AUGUCUCCGUCUUGUGGAAGAUGCACACAGCGUGAUGAAUACAACUACAAAAAUUUGGAGGACGAAAAUAAACAUUUCUUGGUGCUUAUGUUGGGUGAUUUUCAACAACAGACGAUAAUCCCAAAAGAGUGGGUGCGAUGCCUGAAAAGCGAGAUCCCGGAUGAGAUCAACCUAGAAACUCGAAACAGGGUUAGUUACACAAUCAAGGUUGCCAAGUACCGAGAAAAGCAUGUUCUUACAGUGGGUUGGCCCCAAUUCGUCGAGAACUUCCUUCUACAGUUGGGUGAUUCCUUACUAUUCAGAUACAAUGGAGACUCUCUGUUUAGUAUUGUAAUUUUCGAUAAGCUUGGCCGUGAGAAAGCAUCAUCUGUUCUUGUCGAUCCUUUUCCACCACAAGUCCAAGGAAGACGCAAUGAAAUCAGAUCAUCCAAAAGGAAUUUGUUCAGCGUUUCAAGGGAGAGAUCCCAGGAGAGAUUGAACUUGAAACAAAGAAUAAAUGUCGAUACAUAA
rnacentral:rRNA from 1 species